rnacentral:rRNA from 1 species
UACGUAGGGACCGAGCGUUGUCCGGAAUCAUUGGGCGUAAAGAGCGUGUAGGCGGCCAACUAAGUCCUGCGUGAAAUCUCGGGGCUCAACCCCGAGCGGUCGUGGGAAACUGGUUGGCUAGAGUGCGGGAGAGGAGAGUGGAAUUCCUGGUGUAGCGGUGAAAUGCGCAGAUAUCAGGAAGAACACCUAUGGCGAAGGCAGCACUCUGGGACGGUACUGACGCUGAGACGCGAAAGCGUGGGGAGCGAACAGG